UACGUAGGGGGCGAGCGUUGUCCGGAAUCAUUGGGCGUAAAGAGCGUGUAGGUGGACUGGAAGGUCUGGUGUGAAAGCCCGGGGCUCAACCCCGGAGGGUCACUGGAAACCAACAGUCUUGAGUCCGGAAGAGGAGAGUGGGAUUCCUAGUGUAGCGGUGGAAUGCGCAGAUAUUAGGAGGAACACCAAUGGCGAAGGCAGCUCUCUGGUACGUGACUGACACUGAGACGCGAAAGCGUGGGGAGCGAACAGG
rnacentral:rRNA from 1 species